UGUGGGAUAGAGCAGAGGUAGCUCACUAGGCUCAUAACCUAGAGGUCAUAGGUUCGAUUCCUAUUCCCGCAA
rnacentral:tRNA from 2 species